UUACCGUAAUCAAUCUCCUAAUUGGUCUGGGUGGCCCUGUUUACCAGAACCACUCUCCUCAGAUCCUCUGGGAACAUCAGUUUCCGGCCUGAAGAUUUUACAUUUUGUGUGCCAGGACUUGCGGCACAUGACUUGCACACGUACAGUACAUAGUUAGUGUUUUGAAAAGAAUUAAACAACCAACAAAAACAAAGGAAAGAACAAAAUAAAGGAAAUUAAUUAAAAAGCCACCUGAGUUUAUUUAUCAUUGUGUUAAAUCUUUUUGCCACUUUGUAAGGUACACCUUUCAACUUUGCUUUUGUGUUUAAUCAUUUGAAGAGUACCUGUGUUGCUAUAGCAUUUGCAUGUAUGUGACCUUAUAGUGAGUCUUAACUGAGAAACCAAAGAAUUGAACAGACUAAGAGAUCAUAAACCAGUGAGGCACUACACUUUGAUGAGUGAAUAAUUCUAGCCAGACCAAUGUAUUACAAAAAAAAGCAGAACAAAAGAUUGGCAACAUGGAGAAGAUACAGAUAAAUUUCUGUUGAUAUCGUGACUUGACAACUGUUCCUGGUAUUGGAACUGCCCUUGCAAAUAUGAUCAUGGACCUGAGAUGUGAUUGGGGUAAUGUGAGGCCCGAACUGCUCAUGAGUCUUCCUCAAUUUGUGAGCAUGCCUACUUUGGUAGAUUUUUUUCAAUUUUCGACCCUACCUGCCAUAAUCUGAGGGACUUGGACCUGCAAGGACACAAUCACCAAAAUUAGCUCACCCAAAGCCCUCGAUUUCAAUGACCUCGUUUUCAAUGACCUCACAUUUUCCAAGUUCCGUCAUGUGGGAGGGCACUCACCGUCGCCCACCAGUUAAAGUACCCAAGUUUGACGACCAUUCAUGUGGGUUUCCAGGGCAAUCUUUCCGGUCCACUGAUGACGGCAUGUACCCAUCACCACAGCAACUGACUAGUCACUGUCACUUGUUGCACCCAUGUGCAACGCACUCUGGUUAUGAUGAUGUCCUUCACCAUUGGGUGGACGGGAUGCUCCUACGUCCACUGAGAUAAGUGGUCCUGUUUUUCCAAGGGGAGGGAGAGUGCAUUCACCUCCAAGCAAGUUCCGCACUACUGAUAACAAUCACAUUCAACGGCAAGAGCAGUUGGCAAGCAUUCUUUGCUAAGUUUACUUCGUACGCCAGUGGAUUCAGCUGGUCGGCCAAACAGAGAAAGAGUCAUUUGUGUUGGUGCCUGGAGUCCAAGGCAAGUGAAUUCUAUGCCUUACUCAUUGAGCGGGAACCUGACCUUGAGUAUUUUGAUCUGAUCCAAAAAUUGGAGAAGGGGCUUGAGUUACUCGACCUACCAGAGGCCACUUAAAUGCAGUUCAACUAUGCAAAGCAGUCUGCAGAGGAAUCUAUUCUUGAUUGGGCGGACCGUGUUCUAUACUUAGAUACACGUGCAUUCCGCGACCUGCCAGAAGUGCAUGUUCAGAAGCUGGUGGUGCUGAAAUUUUGUCAAGGCUGCUCGGACAGUGAUGCUGGCCAAAAUAAGAGCCCUUGCUACAAGUGUGGCAGGAUGGGUCACUUCAAAAGGGAUUGUCCUGGCGUGAAGUCAAGCAAAACGGGUCUCUUUCAAAAAAGGAAGAUUCCCCAAACUCCAGCGGAGGUCGGAGAACGAGGCUGCUGAACUCAGGUUUUCUGUUUUUCAGCAAGACGUGUGGCAGUGAUGCUUGAGGAAAGUCAAGGAAACAUCAACGCAUGGCACGUUGGAGGACUUGGACAUGGGCUGGUGUAGUAUCCUUGACCCUACUUUUAAACUGGAAAUGAGUGGAGGAACAUUGGGAAAAACCUCCCUGGCCAUAAAACGCAGACAUUGAUGCUGGACUCCACCUAUGCACAUAACGUGCAGCUGUGUAAUGAACAUGCAUCUCAUUCAGGGUUAUGGAAAACUUGCAGAAGUCUGGGAUUUUGACACAGAUCAGUCCGUUGACCAGAUGUUUGAGACCAUCCAUCAUUCAGGUGAUGUUAAUUAAACUAUCGUUAACCAAAGUCAUCACUCCAACUUGUUCUAAGUGUACCCACCUUAGCUUAGCUUUCAACCAUUAGGAAGUUAGACAUGCAUUUAUAUCUUAAGCUGGUUGUCAAAGUUUAUUGAGAGUGUAAAAA